GUUCCGCUCAAGUUCCUCCGCCGCGAACUCAGGACAGGCCGAAGAGGCGCGCACUACUCACGUGUCUUCCAAGUGCUGCUCCAAGGUCGCCUCCAUCCCACCCACCGACCACCCCGGCUCAGAACCCAGCGGCACGACACGUCCUUCUCCACCACAGGCCUCAGUCACUUGACGCGAGCGGGGCGUGGACCGUAACGGCGCCUCCAAAGGGACAAAAUUGAUCACGGUGCAACGUCCGCGUUCUUUACUGGAAAACAUUACUGCGCUGCCGCCGCACAGAGCCUGGCGAAGGCUUGGGCUGCCCGCGCGGUGACCGUCGAGGUGACCCGCACCUGGCUCCAUGGCGGAACCGGCCGGCGUGGAUUAUUCCCCUCUCGGGAGAGAGGUCUGCAGCCGGGCCUCAGUGCUUCAGUUCGUGGCCUGGCAUUUUGUGAAGAGUGUCUUCAUCUCUGCAUCCCUAGUGCAACAGAGCAUGAUAAAAAUUCAAUAAAUAUUUAUUGCAGAGUCUUGAUGUCUUUUGGGAAAGGAACUCUAUGGUUACCUUUACUCUAAGAUUAGAAGGGUGUUACUGAUUCUUACCUCAGAGAAGAGAAUGUCAUGGAGACAAAAUGACCUGCUUAGAGUUCUGCGCCCCCCAGCAUGGAGAGCAGAGCGCAAAGAUUUCCUCCAGACUCCCACAUUCUCCCUUGGAAUCCAAGAACUUGUCUACUAUCACAACACUUUAGUACCCACUUGUAAGCCCGUGGACAAAUCCUCUGAGGCCUUGAUACCUCAGUUUUCCCCCACUAUAAAUGGGAAGAUAAAUUCACUAGAAACAGUA
rnacentral:antisense_RNA from 1 species